GGACCUGAGAUAAAGAAAAUGGGCUCCUCA
rnacentral:piRNA from 1 species